AGAGUUUGAUUCUGGCUCAGGAUGAACGCUGGCGGCGUGCCUAACACAUGCAAGUCGAACGGAGUUAUUUUGGAAAUCUCUUCGGAGAUGGAAUCUUUAACUUAGUGGCGGACGGGUGAGUAACGCGUGAGCAAUCUGCCUUUAAGAGGGGGAUAACAGUCGGAAACGGCUGCUAAUACCGCAUAAAGCAUUGAAUUCGCAUGUUUUCGAUGCCAAAGGAGCAAUCCGCUUUUAGAUGAGCUCGCGUCUGAUUAGCUAGUUGGCGGGGUAACGGCCCACCAAGGCGACGAUCAGUAGCCGGACUGAGAGGUUGAACGGCCACAUUGGGACUGAGACACGGCCCAG
rnacentral:rRNA from 1 species